rnacentral:rRNA from 1 species
GUUAUAUGGUCAAGUGAAGAAGCGCAUACGGUGGAUGCCUUGGCAGUCAGAGGCGAUGAAAGACGUGGUAGCCUGCGAAAAGCUUCGGGGAGUCGGCAAACAGACUUUGAUCCGGAGAUGUCUGAAUGGGGGAACCCAGCCAUCAUAAGAUGGUUAUCUUGUACUGAAUACAUAGGUGCAAGAGGCGAACCAGGGGAACUGAAACAUCUAAGUACCCUGAGGAAAAGAAAUCAACCGAGAUUCCCUUAGUAGUGGCGAGCGAACGGGGACUAGCCCUUAAGUGGCUUUGAGAUUAGCGGAACGCUCUGGAAAGUGCGGCCAUAGUGGGUGAUAGCCCUGUACGCGAAAAUCUCUUAGUCAUGAAAUCGAGUAGGACGGAGCACGAGAAACUUUGUCUGAAUAUGGGGGGACCAUCCUCCAAGGCUAAAUACUACUGACUGACCGAUAGUGAACUAGUACCGUGAGGGAAAGGCGAAAAGAACCCCGGAGAGGGGAGUGAAAUAGAUCCUGAAACCGUAUGCGUACAAGCAGUGGGAGCCCACUUUGUUGGGUGACUGCGUACCUUUUGUAUAAUGGGUCAGCGACUUAUUUUCAGUGGCGAGCUUAACCGAAUAGGGGAGGCGUAGCGAAAGCGAGUCUUAAUAGGGCGUCUAGUCGCUGGGAAUAGACCCGAAACCGGGCGAUCUAUCCAUGGGCAGGUUGAAGGUUGGGUAACACUAACUGGAGGACCGAACCGACUACCGUUGAAAAGUUAGCGGAUGACCUGUGGAUCGGAGUGAAAGGCUAAUCAAGCUCGGAGAUAGCUGGUUCUCCUCGAAAGCUAUUUAGGUAGCGCCUCAUGUAUCACUGUAGGGGGUAGAGCACUGUUUCGGCUAGGGGGUCAUCCCGACUUACCAAACCGAUGCAAACUCCGAAUACCUACAAGUGCCGAGCAUGGGAGACACACGGCGGGUGCUAACGUCCGUCGUGAAAAGGGAAACAACCCAGACCGUCAGCUAAGGUCCCAAAGUUAUGGUUAAGUGGGAAACGAUGUGGGAAGGCUUAGACAGCUAGGAGGUUGGCUUAGAAGCAGCCACCCUUUAAAGAAAGCGUAAUAGCUCACUAGUCGAGUCGGCCUGCGCGGAAGAUGUAACGGGGCUCAAACCAUACACCGAAGCUACGGGUAUCACGUAAGUGAUGCGGUAGAGGAGCGUUCUGUAAGCCUGUGAAGGUGAGUUGAGAAGCUUGCUGGAGGUAUCAGAAGUGCGAAUGCUGACAUGAGUAACGACAAUGGGUGUGAAAAACACCCACGCCGAAAGACCAAGGUUUCCUGCGCAACGUUAAUCGACGCAGGGUUAGUCGGUCCCUAAGGCGAGGCUGAAAAGCGUAGUCGAUGGAAAACAGGUUAAUAUUCCUGUACUUCUGGUUAUUGCGAUGGAGGGACGGAGAAGGCUAGGCCAGCUUGGCGUUGGUUGUCCAAGUUUAAGGUGGUAGGCUGAGAUCUUAGGUAAAUCCGGGAUCUUAAGGCCGAGAGCUGAUGACGAGUCGUCUUUUAGACGACGAAGUGGUUGAUGCCAUGCUUCCAAGAAAAGCUUCUAAGCUUCAGGUAACCAGGAACCGUACCCCAAACCGACACAGGUGGUUGGGUAGAGAAUACCAAGGCGCUUGAGAGAACUCGGGUGAAGGAACUAGGCAAAAUGGCACCGUAACUUCGGGAGAAGGUGCGCCGGUGAGGGUGAAGGACUUGCUCCGUAAGCUCAUGCCGGUCGAAGAUACCAGGCCGCUGCGACUGUUUAUUAAAAACACAGCACUCUGCAAACACGAAAGUGGACGUAUAGGGUGUGACGCCUGCCCGGUGCCGGAAGGUUAAUUGAUGGGGUUAGCUAACGCGAAGCUCUUGAUCGAAGCCCCGGUAAACGGCGGCCGUAACUAUAACGGUCCUAAGGUAGCGAAAUUCCUUGUCGGGUAAGUUCCGACCUGCACGAAUGGCGUAACGAUGGCGGCGCUGUCUCCACCCGAGACUCAGUGAAAUUGAAAUCGCUGUGAAGAUGCAGUGUAUCCGCGGCUAGACGGAAAGACCCCGUGAACCUUUACUAUAGCUUUGCACUGGACUUUGAAUUUGCUUGUGUAGGAUAGGUGGGAGGCUUUGAAGCGUGGACGCCAGUCUGCGUGGAGCCAACCUUGAAAUACCACCCUGGCAACUUUGAGGUUCUAACUCAGGUCCGUUAUCCGGAUCGAGGACAGUGUAUGGUGGGUAGUUUGACUGGGGCGGUCUCCUCCUAAAGAGUAACGGAGGAGUACGAAGGUGCGCUCAGACCGGUCGGAAAUCGGUCGUAGAGUAUAAAGGCAAAAGCGCGCUUGACUGCGAGACAGACACGUCGAGCAGGUACGAAAGUAGGUCUUAGUGAUCCGGUGGUUCUGUAUGGAAGGGCCAUCGCUCAACGGAUAAAAGGUACUCCGGGGAUAACAGGCUGAUACCGCCCAAGAGUUCAUAUCGACGGCGGUGUUUGGCACCUCGAUGUCGGCUCAUCACAUCCUGGGGCUGAAGCCGGUCCCAAGGGUAUGGCUGUUCGCCAUUUAAAGUGGUACGCGAGCUGGGUUUAGAACGUCGUGAGACAGUUCGGUCCCUAUCUGCCGUGGACGUUUGAGAUUUGAGAGGGGCUGCUCCUAGUACGAGAGGACCGGAGUGGACGAACCUCUGGUGUUCCGGUUGUCACGCCAGUGGCAUUGCCGGGUAGCUAUGUUCGGAAUAGAUAACCGCUGAAAGCAUCUAAGCGGGAAACUAGCCUCAAGAUGAGAUCUCACUGGAACCUUGAGUUCCCUGAAGGGCCGUCGAAGACUACGACGUUGAUAGGUUGGGUGUGUAAGCGCUGUGAGGCGUUGAGCUAACCAAUACUAAUUGCCCGUGAGGCUUGACCAUAUAACACCCAAGCAAUU